CCUGUCAAUGUGAGUCGUACGUCAUUGAAAAAGCGACGGUGGCAAAUGACGUCAACUCAGGUGGACACCAACCGCCAACCACCACCAACUCAGAUGGGCACCAGCCACCAACCGCCACCAACUCAGGUGGACGACAACCACCAACCAACUGCCACCAACUCAGGUGGACACCAACUGCCAACCAACCACUACCAACUCAGGUGGACACCAACCGCCAACCAACUGCCACCAACUCAGGUGGACACCAACUGCCAACCAACCACUACCAACUCAGGUGGACACCAACCGCCACCAACUCAGGUGGACACCAACCGCCAACCAACCGCCACCAACUCAGGUGGACACCAACCGCCAACUGCCAACCAACCACCACCAACUCAGGUGGACAACAACCGCCAACUGCCAACCAACCACCACCAACUCAGGUGGACACCAACCGCCAACUGCCAACCAACCACCACCAACUCAGGUGGACACCAACUGCCAACUGCCAACCA
ensembl:lncRNA